rnacentral:misc_RNA from 1 species
GAUGAAGAACGUAGCGAAAUGCGAUACGUAAUGUGAAUUGCAGAAUUCAGUGAAUCAUCGAAUCUUUGAACGCACAUUGCGCUCUCUGGUAUUCCGGAGAGCAUGCUUGUUUGAGUAUCAGUAAACACCUCAACUCCUUUAUUGUAGUUGGACUUGAGCUAUCCCAACAGGACUUUUUGUUCUGGCGGGAGGCUUGAAAUGCAGGUGCAGCUGGACUUUCUUCUGAGCUAUAAGCAUAUUUAUUUAAUCCCUUAACACGGAUUAUUACUUUUUUGCUGCAGCUAACAUAAAGGUUGAAUUUCCAUUGAGCUGACUGAUGCAGGAAUUUGGCAAGGAAUUUUUUUAAUGACUUGUUAAACUCGAUCUCAAAUCAAGUAAGACUACCCGCUGAACUUAAGCAUAUCAAUAAGCGGAGGA